UACGUAGGUGGCAAGCGUUAUCCGGAUUUAUUGGGCGUAAAGGGAACGCAGGCGGUCUUUUAAGUCUGAUGUGAAAGCCUUCGGCUUAACCGGAGUAGUGCAUUGAAAACUGGGAGACUUGAGUGCAGAAGAGGAGAGUGGAACUCCAUGUGUAGCGGUGAAAUGCGUAGAUAUAUGGAAGAACACCAGUGGCGAAAGCGGCUCUCUGGUCUGUAACUGACGCUGAGGUUCGAAAGCGUGGGUAGCAAACAGG
rnacentral:rRNA from 1 species